UUGAAAUUCAUUAUAUUUAUAUAUUUAAUGCAUAUUUAAUUUUAUUUAAAUAUAUUCUAAAUAUUUUAACGUUUGUGCAAUCAAGAAUAAUUUUAGAAUUUUAUGUUGAAAAGAAUUUGAAUUAGGAAAACUCGUUGAAUUCGGAAAAACAAUCCUAUUCGGUUUGACUCAAACACUCAAACACUAAAACCCAAAUCCUAAUUCUAGGCCCAAUUGGGUAAAGCCCAAAUCAAUAAACCCAAAAUAAUCCUCCUUCCUCUUUUCUUUUUCACGUGAAACCAACAAACCUCCUUCUUGCUUUAGACUUCACGUGAAAAACAAACUUCCAAACCCUGCUUCAGCACUUCGUGUUCUCCUCCUCACUUCAGCCGCCUGUCGCACCACCGUAGUGACCACCGCCGUCGAGCCAUCACCUCCCCCGUCCGCGACCACCACCAUCAACCAGACACCACCACCAACAGCCGCGCAACCACCGCGUCGCCCUGCUGCUGCCGCACCCUCCACGCACAGCAGCACUCCUCUUUCUUCUCCACGCGUUCGUCUUCCCUUCUUCACGUCGUGCAACGACCUCCCUGCCACCUGAACCGCCGUCGCGCCACCAACCUUCGCGACCAUUUGUUCCUGCUGCCGCCGCCCCUUGUCGUCGGCCAGCCUCUUCUUCUCCCCUUCUUGUUUUGGCGAAGAAUUCUUUGUAGGCGACUUUUGAAUUCGUUAAAGUGGCCUAUCAGUUUGUUUACACAAGGUACGUACAUACCUGUGUGCUUGGAUGUGUGUUGUAUUGAGAAUAUGAUGAAUAUAUUUAUGAACUUGUUUAUGUUGGAAUUUCAUGUUCAAUGUCGUUGAAUUAAUGCGCUGAGCAUAGAACUUUAUUUAUAAGAAUUGAAUCAUGUUAGCAUGGAAUAUUGAUGCAAGCAUGUUGUUUUGAGGAACUUUAUAGUAUUUAAUAUUGGUUUAGAUCUUUAUUGAUCGUUGUUCCUCUUUAGAUUUUCACUACUUUAUAAGGGCCGAGGACCUUGUUUGGUAGUUGAACCUUAUACCUAAUAAAGGUUUUUAAAUAUGGAUAAAGGAAGGAUUAAAAUAGUUGGAAUUGGCUCUUGGUUGAACGUUGUGAUCACUUGUUUAAUUCAAAGAUAAAAGAAGUUGUGUUUACUUGUUGAAUAUAAUAUUUAUGUUUGAUGAGUCAUAACCAAGUAUUAAAAGUUAAGUCAUGUAAAGUGAAAAUGAG